AUUGAACGCUGGCGGCAGGCCUAACACAUGCAAGUCGAACGAGUGGCGGACGGGGGAGUAAUGUCUGGGAAACUGCCCGAUGGAGGGGGAUAACUACUGGAAAAGGUAGCUAAUACCGCAUACCCUCGGAUGUGCCCAGAUGGGAUUGUCUAGUAGGGGGGGUAACGGCUCACCUAGGCGACGAUCCCUAGCUGGUCUGAGAGGAUGACCAGCCACACUGGAACUGAGACACGGUCCAGACUCCUACGGGAGGCAGCAGUGGGGAAUAUUGCACAAUGGGCGCAAGCCUGAUGCAGCCAUGCCGCGUGUAUGAAGAAGGCCUUAGGGUUGUAAAGUACUUUCAGCGGGGAGGCGUUACCCGCAGAAGAAGCACCGGCUAACUCCGUGCCAGCAGCCGCGGUAAUAC
rnacentral:rRNA from 1 species